GUAAUCAAUCGCAGUUAUCUUGCCGUCCUCUGGCAAUGCAAGAGCCGUUGUAAGGAGCGAAUAGCCCGUGAACACACCAAUCUCCAUAGUCUUCUUUGCAUUCAUGAGCUUUAGCAACAAGGAAAGGAGUUGGCCUUCCUCGGGUGGCACACUCAUCAAUCCCCAUGGAUGUUUUUCCGUCACUUCCCUCAGUUCCUUGAGCAGUUGAUGCUCUCUUGGAUAGACGCUGGUGUUGAGUAUGUAAUCACGAAGGGCAUCGCUGCGCAGCAGGUUCUUCUCCAGCGAUGCAAAGUCUCCAGGGGUCUCCUCAGUUGGAGAGUAGUGC
rnacentral:misc_RNA from 1 species